UGGGCGAAGCCUGAUGCAGCGACGCCGCGUGGGGGAUGACGGCCUUCGGGUUGUAAACCCCUUUCAGUAGGGAAGAAGCGAGAGUGACGGUACCUGCAGAAGAAGCGCCGGCUAACUACGUGCCAGCAGCCGCGGUAAUACGUAGGGCGCAAGCGUUGUCCGGAAUUAUUGGGCGUAAAGAGCUUGUAGGUGGCUUGUCGCGUCUGCCGUGAAAACCCGAGGCUCAACCUCGGGCGUGCGGUGGGUACGGGCAGGCUAGAGUGUGGUAGGGGAGACUGGAACUCCUGGUGUAGCGGUGAAAUGCGCAGAUAUCAGGAAGAACACCGAUGGCGAAGGCAGGUCUCUGGGCCAUUACUGACACUGAGAAGCGAAAGCAUGGGUAGCGAACAGGAUUAGAUACCCUGGUAGUCCAUGCCGUAAACGUUGGGCACUAGGUGUGGGGGACAUUCCACGUUUUCCGCGCCGUAGCUAACGCAUUAAGUGCCCCGCCUGGGGAGUACGGCCGCAAGGCUAAAACUCAAAGGAAUUGACGGGGGCCCGCACAAGCGGCGGAGCAUGCUGAUUAAUUCGAUGCAACGCGAAGAACCUUACCAAGGCUUGACAUGCACUGGACGGCUGCAGAGAUGUGGCUUUCUUUGGACUGGUGCACAGGUGGUGCAUGGUUGUCGUCAGCUCGUGUCGUGAGAUGUUGGGUUAAGUCCCGCAACGAGCGCAACCCUCGUUCUAUGUUGCCAGCACGUAAUGGUGGGGACUCAUAGGAGACUGCCGGGGUCAACUCGGAGGAAGGUGGGGACGACGUCAAAUCAUCAUGCCCCUUA
rnacentral:rRNA from 1 species